ACAAGCGGUGGAGCAUGUGGUUUAAUUCGACGCAACGCGAAGAACCUUACCAGGGCUUGACAUCCCCUGACCGCGUAUGAAAGUACGUUUUCACCCUCGGGUGACAGGGAGACAGGUGGUGCAUGGUUGUCGUCAGCUCGUGUCGUGAGAUGUUGGGUUAAGUCCCGCAACGAGCGCAACCCCUACGUUUAGUUGCUAACGCGUGAAGGCGAGCACUCUAGACGAACUGCCGUUGACAAAACGGAGGAAGGUGGGGAUGACGUCAAAUCAUCAUGCCCCUUAUGUUCUGGGCUACACACGUGCUACAAUGGCCGGUACAGACGGACGCAAAGCCGCGAGGUGGAGCAAAUCCUAAAAAGCCGGUCUCAGUUCGGAUUGCAGGCUGCAAUUCGCCUGCAUAAAGUCGGAAUCGCUAGUAAUCGCAGGUCAGCAUACUGCGGUGAAUACGUUCCCGGGCCUU
rnacentral:rRNA from 1 species